UACGGAGGAUCCAAGCGUUAUCCGGAUUUAUUGGGUUUAAAGGGUGCGUAGGCGGUUAAUUAAGUCAGAGGUGAAAGCCUGCAGCUCAACUGUAGAAUUGCCUUUGAUACUGGUUGACUUGAGUGCAAAUGAAGUGGGCGGAAUGUGUCAAGUAGCGGUGAAAUGCAUAGAUAUGACACAGAACACCGAUUGCGAAGGCAGCUCACUAAAUUGUAACUGACGCUGAGGCACGAAAGCGUGGGGAUCAAACAGG
rnacentral:rRNA from 1 species